rnacentral:rRNA from 1 species
UGGGGAAUUUUGGACAAUGGGCGCAAGCCUGAUCCAGCCAUGCCGCGUGCGGGAAGAAGGCCUUCGGGUUGUAAACCGCUUUUGUCAGGGAAGAAAUCUUCUGAGUUAAUACCUCGGGAGGAUGACGGUACCUGAAGAAUAAGCACCGGCUAACUACGUGCCAGCAGCCGCGGUAAUACGUAGGGUGCAAGCGUUAAUCGGAAUUACUGGGCGUAAAGCGUGCGCAGGCGGUUUUGUAAGACAGAGGUGAAAUCCCCGGGCUCAACCUGGGAACUGCCUUUGUGACUGCAAGGCUUGAGUGCGGCAGAGGGGGGAUGGAAUUCCGCGUGUAGCAGUGAAAUGCGUAGAUAUGCGGAGGAACACCGAUGGCGAAGGCAAUCCCCUGGGCCUGCACUGACGCUCAUGCACGAAAAGCGUGGGGAGCAAAACAGGAUUAGAUACCCCUGGUAGUCCACGCCCUAAAACGAUGUCAACU